rnacentral:rRNA from 1 species
GAUGAACGCUGGCGGCGUGCCUAAUACAUGCAAGUCGAGCGAACGGACGAGAAGCUUGCUUCUCUGAUGUUAGCGGCGGACGGGUGAGUAACACGUGGAUAACCUACCUAUCAGACUGGGAUAACUUCGGGAAACCGGAGCUAAUACCGGAUAAUAUUUUGAACCGCAUGGUUCAAAAGUGAAAGACGGUCUUGCUGUCACUUAUAGCUGGAUCCGCGCUGCUUUAGCUAGUUGGUAAGGUAACGGCUUACCAAGGCAACGAUGCGUAGACGACCUGAGAGGGGGAUCGGCCACCCGGGAACUUGGACACGGUCCAUACGCCUACGGGAGGGAGCAGUAUGGAAUCUGCCGCAAUGGGCGAAAGCCUUACGGAGCAACGCCGCGUGAGAUAUGAAGGUCUUCGGAUCGUAAAACUCGGUUAUUAGGGAAGAACAUAUGUGUAAGGAACUGUGCACAGCUUGACGGUACCUAAUCAGAAAGCCACGGCUAACUACGUG